CCUACGGGUGGCAGCAGUGGGGAAUAUUGGUCAAUGGGGGAAACCCUGAACCAGCGACGCCGCGUGAGGGAUGAAGGUUUUCGGAAUGUAAACCUCUUUUUUUAGGGAAGAAAAUGACGGUACCUGACGAAUAAGCUCCGGCUAACUUCGUUCCAGCAGCCGCGGUAAUACGGAGGGGGCAAGCGUUAUCCGGAAUUACUGGGCGUAAAGCGAGCGUAGGCGGGAUAGGAAGUCAGUUGUGAAAGUCUGUGGCUUAACCCUAGAACUGCAUUUGAAACUGUGAGUCUAGAGUUCGGGAGAGGUAGGCGGAAUUCGUGGUGUAGGGGGAAAAUGCGUAGAGAUCAAGAGGAACAC
rnacentral:rRNA from 1 species